rnacentral:rRNA from 1 species
AUUGAACGCUGGCGGCAGGCCUAACACAUGCAAGUCGAACGAGUGGCGGACGGGUGAGUAAUGUCUGGGAAACUUCCAGCUGGAGGGGGAUAAAUACUGGAAACGAGAGAUAAUACCGCAUACCAUCAGAUGUGCCUAGAUGGGAUUAGCUAGUUGGUGUGGUAACGGCUACCCAAGUCGAAGCUCCCUAGCUGGUCUGAGAGGAUGACCAGCCACACUGGAACUGAGCAACGGUCCAGACUCCUACGGGAGGCAGCAGUGGGGAAUAUUGCAAAAUGGGCGAAAGCCUGAUACAGCCAUGCCGCGUGUAUGAAGAAGGCCUUCGGGUUGUAAACUACUUUUAGCGGGGAGGCGUUACCCACAGAAGAAGCACCGGCUAACUCCGUGCCAGCAGCCGCGGUAAUAC